UGGGGAAUUUUGGACAAUGGGCGCAAGCCUGAUCCAGCCAUGCCGCGUGUGGGAAGAAGGCCUUCGGGUUGUAAACCACUUUUGUCAGGGAAGAAACGGCUCUUACUAAUAUUAGGAGCUAAUGACGGUACCUGAAGAAUAAGCACCGGCUAACUACGUGCCAGCAGCCGCGGUAAUACGUAGGGUGCAAGCGUUAAUCGGAAUUACUGGGCGUAAAGCGUGCGCAGGCGGCUUUGCAAGACAGAUGUGAAAUCCCCGGGCUCAACCUGGGAACUGCAUUUGUGACUGCAAGGCUAGAGUACGGUANAGGGGGAUGGAAUUCCGCGUGUAGCAGUGAAAUGCGUAGAUAUGUGGAGGAAUACCGAUGGCGAAGGCAGCCCCCUGGGAUAACACUGACGCUCAUGCACGAAAGCGUGGGGAGCAAACAGGAUUAGAUACCCACGUAGUCCCUGAGCGGGCUGGCAAGGCG
rnacentral:rRNA from 1 species